UCGGGAUAGCUCCGMAGUCGGUACACGCUACGAUUUGWCC
rnacentral:tRNA from 1 species